rnacentral:lncRNA from 1 species
AGAGCCGGAGACCAGCAUGUGAGAACGGAAGCAGAAGCUGAAGUGCUGGGGGGCCACGAGCUGAGGAAUGCAAGGAGCUUGUAGAAGCUGGAAAAGGCUAGGAACGGAUUCUUCUCUAGAGUGUCCAGAAGGAACACAACUCUGCCAUCACCUUGUUUUAAGUCGAGUGAGACUGAUUUUGGCCUACUGACCUCCAAAACUGGCCUGUGAGGAUUCUCAGCCUUCGUUCAGGUUUGGGGAAGAAAGACAACCAGGAGAAGAAAUGUCUAUCAUGGGUGCCCCAUCCCGUGUGCCAGUUCCUUGCCCUCUUGAACGUAAACCAGGAGCAUAUGGAUCCUAUGUGCUAAGAGACUAAGAUUUUUUUUAUUGCUUUAAUUUUCUGCUGAGUGUCUACCGCCUUGAUGACCAAGAAAAGCUACACAUGCUGAGAAUGAACUAAUCUACCAGAUUUUUAUCCUCUUUUGAAUACCAAACUAACCAGCAACCACUCAGUUUAGAAGCGCAGGGCCCCUUCCCAUGACCCUGUCUGGCUACUGCCUGCGCAUCACGAAGCUGCCUGGAAAAGUGAAAAAAAAGUCUCGAGUGACCACAGACUGCCCUUUAUACAGAAAGCAGAGUGAAGCUUCAAAAGUAACUAACUGCCAAAGACG